UCUUAGUCUUACUCCUUUGAGUUCUCUUUGAAUUCUCUCUCUGCCCCCCCCCCCCGUGUAUACACACACACACACACACACACACAGAGAGACGCUCUAUUCCCACAGUUACCUCACUACUGGCCCUUUCUGUUCUUGCGUUUGCCCCUGUGCUGUGACCUCCUGCGCCUCAGCAUAUGAGCUAAAGGGUCUUGGGCAGCCAGUUACACACUCCCCGCCCCCCAACACACACACACACACACACACACACACACACACACUGACUCGAUGCUUCACUUAGAGUGAAGAAAUGAGGGAAGUGGAACAAUUUUAAAUUUACUGUGAUCUUCAAGACAGCUUUUUCUACACCUGGGAAUUGCUGUUAGACAAUUAAGGUUAGUAAAGCUCAUUGCAUUUCUCAGAGGAAAGGUGUUAUUUAUUACCAGAUAAUUAUUGUUAAAAAUAACAAUAAUGUAAAAAUGGGACUGUGGCAUGUUUGAGACGUUAUCAUUCUUAGGUUACAGACGUUGAGGGGAGUUAUUGGCAAUCUAGAAACAAUAGUUUGUUGUUGUUCACAACAUACUCCAUGUCAGAAACUCCUGGAAUUCUGAUGUCUGAUGACUGGCCCAAAAUCAGAAGCCAUGUUAUUCAGCUAAACUGCCCCUCCAAAAACAAACCCCUAUUAGAAAAGAGAAUGUCAGAUGUAAGAUGAGUGGUAUCCAGACCUAUAGUAUCAGCAUCACCUGGGAACUUACCAAAAUGCAGAACUGCAGACUCCACCUAGACAUACUGAUUCAGAAAUACUAGUGAUAUUAAAAUCAUGUUCUACAGAGAGAGAGACAGAGAGACAUCGAGAGAGAGAGAACUUGAGACUGAUAUAAGACAUUCCCAUCUUCAAUUAGAAAGGAGUUACAAAUGAACUAUGCAUAUUGACAAUUUCAAGGCCAGUUCUUCCCCUGUGACUCUUGACUCUCAAGGAAAUGACGCCCUGUGGGACCAUGGCAAGAGGCACUAAUGCACCUGUACAUUGUGAGAAUUGUUUUCUAGUGGCAAGAAUACAGAAGAUCUGAAUUUGAAUUCUGUCUUCACUAUCUUCAAGCUUUCUAAUCACAGACUUUUCACGAGCUCUCUGAGUUCCUCCUCUGUACACUGGGCAUAGUAAUCAACAUAGCUGAGAAGGUUAAAUGAGAAUAUUUUCAUAUAUGCGAAUCUGUGGUCCCUGAUAAAAUGUCGACAUUCAUAAAUAGCUGUUGUUGCUUUCACAGUGCCUUUUAUGUGAGCUUCUACCCCAAAGCACUCACCCAUUUUAUACUGACUUGAUGAUCUCUGAGAAGUGAGUAGCAGUGGCCACACUGAAGUCAGACCUCAGCCUCAUGUGAUGCAUGGCAUUGUGUUCCUUAGCAGCUCAACUCAACUGGCUUCCAAGGCAGGUGUACAGAGACACCAUCAAAGCUACAGGCAGAAAAGAAGUGACCCUCUGUCUGAUCUGCAUCUGACACCAUCAUGAAACUUGCUGGGUUCUAAGAGCAGACUCUUUAUUAUAGUGCUGAUAUAAGAGGCAGGGGGAAACAGAUGGAUUUCCAGAUACUAAGUAGAAUUUGUGGCAUGAGCAGCCCUUUAAAAUUACCUUUUAACUUAAAAACUUAGUACACUGGAUACAGAAGUCAUUAAAAGGGAAUAAAUAUGAAACCCUGCGAGGUCAUUUUCACUGAGUCUUUAUUUUAGGAGUAUAACUAUUCUUUAAGCAAUAAAACAUGAGAGACCAUGCAGUAGCUCUGAUUAGUAGACCCUCAGGUGUAUGCAGGUACCUGAGAGGGGAAAUAAGGAAAUAGGGUUAGAAGAUAGUCUGCCAAAAAAGCUGGAAGAUCAUAGCGGCGGGAUGUGAAGGAGAAGGCUUUGAUUAAAGGACAGGAAGAUUAUGGCUCUGUUUAAUUACAAAUUUCACACUUUUAGUAAACUAUUGUAUGCGCUGAACAUGUACAGUUACCUAAUUACAUAGAGGAUAUCUGUAUAUUGCCAAGUAACUGUUCACUGCAGUGUGGGAGAAUAUUGAUCAGUGAUUUUCUUUAUUAUCUUAAUAUAGUUGCCAGAAGAUUGAAAAGUUCAGUGGGAUGAAGAGUUAAUAAUCUCUAGCCAUAUGGUGGGUUAGAAAGAACAAUGAACACCUUGUGGGCCCAGUUUUGCUGGUUAUGUGGCUGCUAAGGUAAAUGGUUCAAUGCAUAGCACCUCUCCACCAUACCAGUCAAAACUUUUGACAAAUAUUACUAUCUUCUUUCUCUGCUGGGAAACGAUGAGUUGAUGGAACCUUUGGUACCGUAGACUAAUAUUUAAAAGGAAGCCAUCCUGACCAAUAAUAAAUGACUGAUAGGCCCUGGAAGAUCUGUUUUAUUUGCUAUGAUAAACACCACUAUCCCAAGACAGUUGUUUUGGGUUUAGUUUUCGUUUGGUUUGGGUUGUUUCCUUGUUCAUUUGUUUUGUUUUAGCUUUUCAUUUAGAACUAAGAAAAGAUGAAUCUGUUUGAGGUCAGAGGAGAAAUGGAACAAAUAACACUCCUUCCAUCUCUGGAAAAAAGCAAGGC
rnacentral:lncRNA from 1 species